UACGUAGGGGGCGAGCGUUGUCCGGAAUCAUUGGGCGUAAAGAGCGCGUAGGCGGUCCGGUAAGUCCGCUCUGAAAGUCCGGGGCUCAACCCCGGGAGGCGGGCGGAUACUGUCGGGCUAGAGUCCGGAAGAGGCGAGUGGAAUUCCUGGUGUAGCGGUGAAAUGCGCAGAUAUCAGGAGGAACACCAAUGGCGAAGGCAGCUCGCUGGGACGGUACUGACGCUGAGGCGCGAAAGCGUGGGGAGCAAACAGG
rnacentral:rRNA from 1 species